UUAAGAUCUCUUUAUAGGAUCAAUUCUAUAGUGAAAUUGCCGGGGGUUUUUCGCCAAGAUUCUCGGGAAAAUAUUAACACGAUGAGGACUUUCGUGUGAUCCCCCUGAGCGGGAAAAAGGGGCCCUUUCUAUUUGUAAGAGCAUUGUGCCGUUCUGCUCGGGAUACCUUCUAGAGGAGGGUUUCCCCGACUGAGUGGU